UACAGAGGGGGCAAGCGUUGUUCGGAAUUACUGGGCGUAAAGGGCGCGUAGGCGGCCUGCUAAGUCGAACGUGAAAUCCCCGGGCUCAACCCGGGAACUGCGUCCGAUACUGACAGGCUUGAAUCCGGGAGAGGGAUGUGGAAUUCCAGGUGUAGCGGUGAAAUGCGUAGAUAUCUGGAGGAACACCGGUGGCGAAGGCGGCAUCCUGGACCGGUAUUGACGCUGAUGCGCGAAAGCCAGGGGAGCAAACGGG
rnacentral:rRNA from 1 species